rnacentral:rRNA from 1 species
AGAGUUUGAUCCUGGCUCAGAACGAACGCUGGCGGCGUGCCUAACACAUGCAAGUCGAGCGCGAAUGGAGCAAUCCUAGUAGAGCGGCGCACGGGUGCGUAACACGUGGGUAAUCUGCCUGAAUGCCUGGGAUAACCAGUCGAAAGACUGGCUAAUACCGGAUAAGCCCCCAGGAGCUUCGGCUCUCGAGGGAAAGGGUGGCCUCUGUAUACAAGCUAUCUCAUUCAGAUGAGCCCGCGGCCCAUCAGCUAGUUGGCGGGGUAAUGGCCCACCAAGGCAACGACGGGUAGCUGGUCUGAGAGGACGAUCAGCCACACUGGAACUGAGACACGGUCCAGACUCCUACGGGAGGCAGCAGUGGGGAAUUUUGCGCAAUGGGCGAAAGCCUGACGCAGCAACGCCGCGUGUGUGAUGAAGGUCUUUGGAUUGUAAAGCACUUUCGACCGGGACGAAAACCUCUUGGCUAACAUCCAAGGGCUUGACGGUACCGGGAGAAGAAGCACCGGCUAACUCUGUGCCAGCAGCCGCGGUAAU